rnacentral:rRNA from 1 species
AGGAUGAACGCUAGCGGCAGGCCUAAUACAUGCAAGCUGAACGGUAAAUAUUAUAGCAAUAUAGUAUGAGAGUAGCGUAAGGGUGCGUAACACGUAUGCAAUCUGCCCUGUACAGGAGAAUAGCUCGGCGAAAGCCGGAUUAAUGCUCCGUAAUAUUAUGGUGUGGCAUCACAUUAUAAUUAAAGUUGCAAGAUGGUACAGGAUGAGCAUGCGUCGUGACUUAGCUAGUUGGUAGUUAGGUAACCGGACUACCGAAGGCGA